CCAAGCCGGGAGUCUAGGACAGGGAGGCGCGAACGAGGCGAAGGCGACUUGCAGCUGUAAGGAAGAAGUGGCCGAGUAAGGACGAGGAGUAAAUGGGAACUGCAAAGGAACGUGAAGAAGGGAAGGAAGAGGAAACUACCAGGGAUAAAUUGUGCUGCAAGGCGGGCAAUGAUGAAGCUGUUUACGAGGACACAUCCGGAGUGACCGUGGGGGACCCCGUGACGAAGACCGGCAAGCCCCUCUCGGUGGAGCUAGGCCCGGGCAUCAUGAGGAACAUUUACGACGGGAUCCACCACCCACCCCAGGAGAUUGGCGACCUCGCGCAGCUAUCUAUAUCCACAAGGGCAUCUCCACCCCGCCCUCUCCCACUCCAAGGCCUGGGACUUCCAGCCGCAGCGAGCCGUCAAGGUCGGCAGUCACAUCACAAGCGGCGAUCUCUUCUAUCGGCAUGGUUACAGGGAAAUCCAUCAUCAACCACAGGAUCAUCUUGCCCCCAAAGGCCCGAGCCACAGUCACCCAUCUGGCAGCUCCCGGCAACUACUCCCUGGAUGAGACGGUGCUGGAGGUGGAGUUUGGGGAGAGGAGCACCUGUACAGCAUGGUGCAGGUGGGGGGGGUGGCUAAGGACCGUAUCCUCAGGGAUCUGGGGUCUCACAGACACACACAUUGGUAAGGGUCUUGUAGAGGCUGUGUUAAAGUUUCCAUGGGUAGUUUUCUGAGCCUAGCGACAGUUUGACAAGGCUUGUGUGUGGCGUGAAUGUGAAAAACACUCAUGAGGACCCAACUAAGCUCCUUUGUGGCCCUGGAAACACUUGUAGUGACAGCCAAGUGUCUCAGAAAUGAUCCCAUUGAUUUCCCAUUUUGUGUUUUUGCAUAUCUCUUCUCUGGCUGUCCAAGUUUCCCAUGAAGAGAUAAUCAAGGUCUACA